GCGAAAGCGUGGGGAGCAAACAGGAUUAGAUACCCUGGUAGUCCACGCCGUAAACGAUGUCUACUUGGAGGUUGUGCCCUUGAGGCGUGGCUUCCGGAGCUAACGCGUUAAGUAGACCGCCUGGGGAGUACGGCCGCAAGGUUAAAACUCAAAUGAAUUGACGGGGGCCCGCACAAGCGGUGGAGCAUGUGGUUUAAUUCGAUGCAACGCGAAGAACCUUACCUGGUCUUGACAUCCACAGAACUUUCCAGAGAUGGAUUGGUGCCUUCGGGAACUGUGAGACAGGUGCUGCAUGGCUGUCGUCAGCUCGUGUUGUGAAAUGUUGGGUUAAGUCCCGCAACGAGCGCAAC
rnacentral:rRNA from 1 species